UGUAGGAGACGGGGAGGGACGGGAAGGGACGGAUGGACCCAAGGCUCAAGAUCCACCCCACCCCCUCCAAUUGCAGCCUGCCUUGCCCUGGUGGGAGUCGCCACUUAAGCUGCAAGGGUAGGAGGUUCCCUGGGGAGUUGGCCCUCCCUCCUCGUGGGCGCAGACGUCUGCAGUGUCUGCUUGGUUUCCUGGGUAGUAGAGGACCUGGACUGGGAGACAGCACUAGGAGAUCGCGAGAUCCACGGGAAGCACAGGCCCGCGCUCGUCCCCUCUGUAGCAUUCAUUCGGGGUGAUGGGCAAGUUCACCCCAUUUUACAGAAUCAGGAGCUUGCAGACCACCCAGCUGAUAAGGCUCUGGUUGGACUAACAAGAUGGCUCAGCCCGUAAGGGCACCUGCUGCCAAGCCUGAGGGCCUGAGCUUGAUCCGGUGGUACCCACAUGGUGGAAGGAGAAAACUGAUCCCACAGACUUGCCUUCUGACCUCUACAUAUGCCCUGUGGCACACAGGUGCCCCCCACAUGAAUAUUUGUUUUUGUAAAGAGAGAGAAAGAAAUCAUGGAGUUGAGUGGCUGGGAAGAUGAGAAAGAUCUGGGAGGAGUUUGGUAAGGGGAAACAUGUGAACAGAAUAUAUUGUGUGACAAUUUUUUUCAAUUAAAAAAAUUGAAAAUUUCUCUAGA